UACAGAGGUCCCGAGCGUUGUUCGGAUUCACUGGGCGUAAAGGGUGCGUAGGUGGCUUUGAAAGUUUGAUGUGAAAUCUCCGGGCUUAACCCGGAAAAUGCAUUGAAUACUGCAGGGCUGGAGGUUUGGAGGGGGGGACUGGAAUUCUCGGUGUAGCAGUGAAAUGCGUAGAUAUCGAGAGGAACACCGGUGGCGAAGGCGGCGACCUGGGACAAUACUGACGCUGAGGUGCGAAAGCGUGGGGGAGCAAACAGG
rnacentral:rRNA from 1 species